rnacentral:rRNA from 1 species
GACGAACGCUGGCGGCGUGCCUAAUACAUGCAAGUCGAACGAACCGCGACUGAGUGCUUGCACUUGGUCAAGGUGAGUGGCGAACGGGUGAGUAACACGUGGGUAACCUACCUCAUAGUGGGGGAUAACAGUCGGAAACGACUGCUAAUACCGCAUAGGACAUAGGAUCACAUGAUCCAGUGAGGAAAGGUGGCGCAAGCUAUCGCUAAGAGAUGGACCCGCGGUGCAUUAGCUAGUUGGUAGGGUAAAGGCCUACCAAGGCGAUGAUGCAUAGCCGACCUGAGAGGGUGAUCGGCCACAUUGGGACUGAGACACGGCCCAAACGCCUACGGGAGGCAGCAGUAGGGAAUCUUCCGCAAUGGACGCAAGUCUGACGGAGCAACGCCGCGUGAGUGAAGAAGGUCUUCGGAUCGUAAAGCUCUGUUGUUAGAGAAGAACAGCGCAUAGAGUAACUGCUAUGCGUGUGACGGUAUCUAAUCAGAAAGCCACGGCUAACUACGUG